AACCUCAUCCGGCCCAGACAUGGACAGGAUUGACAGAUUGAUAGCUCUUUCUCGAUUCCGUGGGUGGUGGUACAUGGCUGUUCUUAGUAGGUGGAGCGAUUUGUCUGGUUAAUUCGGAUAACGAACGAGACUCCUGCAUACUAACUAGUUACUCGACCCCCGAGCGGUCGGUGUCCCCCAAUUUCUUAGAGGGACAAGUGGUAUUCAGCCACCCGAGAUUGAGCACUAGCAGGUCUGUGGUGCCCUUAGAUGUCUGGGGCUGCACGCUAUGCUGUGUUGUCCAGGCUGGAGUGCAGCGGCUAUUCACAGG
rnacentral:ncRNA from 1 species